rnacentral:rRNA from 1 species
CCUACGGGUGGCAGCAGUGGGGGAUAUUGCACAAUGGGGGAAACCCUGAUGCAGCGACGCCGCGUGAGUGAAGAAGUAUUUCGGUAUGUAAAGCUCUAUCAGCAGGGAAGAAAAUGACAGUACCCUACCAAGAAGCCCCGGCUAACUACGUGCCAGCCGCCGCGGUAAUACGUAGGGGGCAAGCGUUAUCCGGAUUUACCGGGUGUAAAGGGAGCGUAGACGGUUAUGUAAGUCUGGAGUGAAAGCCCGGGGCCCAACCCCGGGACUGCUUUGGAAACUGUGUAACUGGAGUGCAGGAGGGGCAGGCGGAAGUCCUGGUGUAGCGGUGAAAUGCGUAGAUAUCAGGAGGAACACCAGCGGCGAAGGCGGCCUGCUGGACUGAAACUGACGUUGAGGCUCGAAAGCGUGGGGAGCAAACAGGAUUAGAUACCCGGGUAGUC